UGUGUCGGUCACCUUGGUCUAUGAGAAUAUUAAACACAGGACGCAGAUGGAUUCAUGACAAAAUUGUGUUUUGGUGAUGGUGAUGUGUUUGUACAUCUUACUUUACUGAACAUUCUUGCUGCUUACAAUUAUCUCUAUUUAUAAUGAACUUGGCCCAGUAGUUUCUGUGGAAAAUGUUAGUAAAAAUUUACAAAUUUUAUGAAAAUUGUUAAAAAU
rnacentral:lncRNA from 1 species